CCCAGCCAGCCACUCCGGGGACAUUCCCAGCUGCUCCAGGACUUUUUGGGGGGUGGAACGGGCAGCACCGAGGGGGGAGAUAAACCCCCUUCCAGCGGGGCCCAGCCCGCUCCCUUUUUUUGGUGGAGAAAGAUGCAGAAAGGGGAGUUAUAAAAGAAAAAAAAGCCAAAUCCAUCUGAGAAGGCGCCCGAGUGCUGAGCAGCCACCCCCAUGCCUCUGGUAUGUCGGGGAGGGGGGGACGGGCGGCCCAGUUUUGGGGUUAAAAUGUGAGCUAAGAGGCUGGGGGGGGGCUAAAGGCGCUGGCACACCAUCCCCCCCCAGCUGUGCACGCACAUCUGGCAGCCCCAGCCCUCCCCGGGCACCGGGGCUCCCAGCAGAUGCCCCCAAACCCUGGCUGUGCUGUGGGGAGGGCACGGGGGGGGGGUCCGGGCAGGUUUUGCUCCCCCUUUUCUGCCGUGGGCAGCCCCUGCCCCGUUGGCAUCAGUGGGAUUUGGUGCCAGAUCCAGGUGCCACCUCGCUGGGAGCAGGGACACCGGGCGAGAGCGCUGGCAUUAACGAUGGCAAAAAAUCUGGUGAGAGCCCUCCCUUCCCCUCGGCGCCAAAAAAAGGGGGGGCUUUGCCAGCUUGGAGGGUGGAGGAAGGUUCGGUGGUAACCCCAAAACCACCCUGAACCCCCCACUGACCCACCAAGGGGCACACGCUGCAUCCCUGGCUGCUCCCAGUGAUUUUUUGGGGUGCCCGUGAUGAUGGGCACGUGGGGGUGGGGAGCAUGAACCUCCACAUCCCCCCCCACCCCCUGGCACCACGGCGGGCAGCCGGGGCACAGGGGGGGCUGAGCAGCUCCGGGUUCUUGGCCUGGCGUGGGGCUGGGGGGAAUCCAGGCCCCCCCCGACCCUGCUGUGGGGCUGACUGCUCUCCCAGCACCCAGCCAGCCACUCCGGGGACAUUCCCAGCUGCUCCAGGACUUUUUGGGGGGUGGAACGGGCAGCACCGAGGGGGGAGAUAAACCCCCUUCCAGCGGGGCCCAGCCCGCUCCCUUUUUUUGGUGGAGAAAGAUGCAGAAAGGGGAGUUAUAAAAGAAAAAAAAGCCAAAUCCAUCUGAGAAGGCGCCCGAGUGCUGAGCAGCCACCCCCAUGCCUCUGGUAUGUCGGGGAGGGGGGGACGGGCGGCCCAGUUUUGGGGUUAAAAUGUGAGCUAAGAGGCUGGGGGGGGGCUAAAGGCGCUGGCACACCAUCCCCCCCCAGCUGUGCACGCACAUCUGGCAGCCCCAGCCCUCCCCGGGCACCGGGGCUCCCAGCAGAUGCCCCCAAACCCUGGCUGUGCUGUGGGGAGGGCACGGGGGGGGGGUCCGGGCAGGUUUUGCUCCCCCUUUUCUGCCGUGGGCAGCCCCUGCCCCGUUGGCAUCAGUGGGAUUUGGUGCCAGAUCCAGGUGCCACCUCGCUGGGAGCAGGGACACCGGGCGAGAGCGCUGGCAUUAACGAUGGCAAAAAAUCUGGUGAGAGCCCUCCCUUCCCCUCGGCGCCAAAAAAAAGGGGGGGCUUUGCCAGCUUGGAGGGUGGAGGAAGGUUCGGUGGUAACCCCAAAACCACCCUGAACCCCCCACUGACCCACCAAGGGGCACGCGCUGCAUCCCUGGCUGCUCCCAGUGAUUUUUUGGGGUGCCCGUGAUGAUGGGCACGUGGGGGUGGGGAGCAUGAACCUCCACAUCCCCCCCCACCCCCUGGCACCACGGCGGGCAGCCGGGGCACAGGGGGGGCUGAGCAGCUCCGGGUUCUUGGCCUGGGUUAAUUUUAAAUGAGAAACCUCAGGCCUGGCUUUGGGGGGGGGGAUUUUGUUUCCUUGGAAGCGGGAGCAGAGGCAGGAAAUGAAGAAAAGGCACGGGCCCCGCUCCCAAGUGUUUUCCCAAAUGCUGGAGGCAGCAGGAGGCAUUUCCUGGGCUGAGGAGCAUCCUCCUCCGUUGGCCACCACCGGAGCCACGGGAUGGGGCUUCCUGGGGAUGGAGAAUCCGUCCCAAAACGCUGCUCGGGGUGGAAAAUGGCAAAGAUCGGGGUGGAAAAUGGCAAAAAUCAGGGUGGAAAAUGGCAAAAAUCAGGGUGAAAAGUGGCAAAAAUCAGGGUGGAAAAUGGUAAAAAUCAGGGUGGAAAGUGGUCUCUGGUUGGGUCUUCCCUCCCCUUCAGGCUCCCACCCACCCUGACCCACCGUUGGGUCCAGCAGGUCCAGAGAGGGGAUUCUGCCACUUUACUCUGCUCUGGUGAGACCUCACCUGGAGUAUUGUGUGCAGGGCUGGAGCCCUCAAUAUAAGAAGGACAUGGACCUGAUGGAGAGGGUCCAGAGGAGGGCCACAAGGAUGAUCAGGGGGAUGGAGCACCUCUGCUCCGAGGACAGGCUGAGGGAGCUGGGGUUGUUCAGCCUGGAGAAGAGGAGGCUCCGGGGAGACCUAAUAGCAGCCUUCCAGUACCUUAAGGGGCCUACAGGAAGGCUGGGGAGAGCCUGUUUAGAAAGGGCUGCAGUGACAGGACGAGGGGCAAUGGCUUCAAGCUGGAGGGGAACAGAUUUAGACUGGAGAUGAGGAGAGGGUUCUUCACUGUGAGGGUGGUGGAGCACUGGAACAGGUUGCCCAGGGAGGUGGUUGAGGCCCCAUCCCUGGAGAUAUUCAAGGAGAGGCUCGACGAGGCCCUGGGCAACCUGGUCUAGUUGGGGGUGUCCCUGCUGACUGCGGGGGUCGGACUGGAUGGCCUUUGGAGGUCCCUUCCGGCCUGGGCAAUUCUAUGAUUCUAUGAUGGGCUUCCCAAAUUCACCUUGGGGGGGUGUAAAAAUCACAGCACCCCCUGGGUUGCUCUCUCCCCCCUCCCUCCAGCCUCAUGUUUUUAUCCCCGCAGCGAGACGAGGCGCAGAGGCGGCUUCGUGCCACCAGCCUUUGCUUGCCCAGCCGGGCUGCAGGCACCCAGGGGUGGCAACACCCUCUUUUUCCCCCCAUCCCCAUCUCCCAGAUGACCCACGCUGGCCCUGACCCAAGGAGGAGGAGGAGGGGGGGGGUUGGAAUUUGGCCCCGGCUGCGUCAAAGCCCGGGGCGUGCAGGAGCUGGCCUUUGCGGGGAGAGCGGCUGAGCCCGGCGCAGAGCUGCUGCCCUGCCAGACUGCAGAAACUUGAGCUCCAAAUCCAUAAUUCCUCUGGCACCCCGUGGUUAUUUGUGAGCUGCUGUGAGCAGAUGGAAGAGUUACAGAUAAAGCCAUCCGCAGCACGGGAGCCCUGCUUCGCCUUCCCCCCCCCCCACACAAACCGCGUAGGCAACGGCAAAAGGCAGGGAAAAAGGAAUAAAAAAAAAAAAGAGAAAAAAUUAAAAAAAAAG
rnacentral:lncRNA from 1 species